CUUUAGAAACGGGCGCUUUUACAGCUGGAACUAGUUCUCUAACAGGCACAAGGGUUAACAAACUGAGCAGGAAAACAUUCAGACGCCCUGACCACAGAGCCCAACCUUACAUCAGAGCCACGCCAGAGAACC